CCUACGGGGUGCAGCAGUGAGGAAUCUUGGUCAAUGGGCGAGAGCCUGAACCAGCCAAGUCGCGUGAGGGAGUACUGCCCUAUGGGUUGUAAACCUCUUUUGUCGGGGAGCAAAUGCCGGACGUGUCCGGCUGUGAGAGUACCCGAAGAAAAAGCAUCGGCUAACUCCGUGCCAGCAGCCGCGGUAAUACGGAGGAUGCGGGCGUUAUCCGGAUUUAUUGGUUUUAAGGGGUGCGCAGGCGGAUUUUUAAGUUAGCGGUCAAAGCGUGGGGCUAAACCCCAUCCAGCCGUUGAAACUGGGGAUCUAGAGUGUGCGAGAGGUAUGCGGAAUGCGUGGUGUAGCGGUGAAAUGCAUAGAUAUCACGCAGAACCCCGAUUGCGAAGGCAGCAUACCGGUGCACAACUGACGCUCAGGCACGAAAGCGUGGGUAUCGAACAGGAUUAGAUACCCCGGUAGUC
rnacentral:rRNA from 1 species